CCUACGGGAGGCAGCAGUGGGGGAUAUUGGACAAUGGGGGGAACCCUGAUCCAGCGACGCCGCGUGAGUGAAGAAGUAUCUCGGUAUGUAAAGCUCUAUCAGCAGGGAAGAAGAAAUGACGGUACCUGAGUAAGAAGCACCGGCUAACUACGUGCCAGCAGCCGCGGUAAUACGUAGGGGGCAAGCGUUAUCCGGAAUUACUGGGUGUAAAGGGAGCGUAGACGGUGAUGUAAGUCUGGAGUGAAAGGCGGGGGCCCAACCCCCGGACUGCUCUGGAAACUAUGUGACUGGAGUGCAGGAGAGGUGAGCGGAAUGCGUAGUGUAGCGGUGAAAUGCGUAGAUAUUAGGAGGAACACCGGCGGCGAAGGCGGCCUGCUGGACUGAAACUGACGUUGAGGCUCGAAAGCGUGGGGAGCAAACAGGAUUAGAUACCCGGGUAGUC
rnacentral:rRNA from 1 species